GAGGGUAGAGCUCAGUGGUAGAGCGUGUGCUUAGCAUGCACGAGGUCCUGGGUUCAAUUUCCAGUCCCUCCA
rnacentral:tRNA from 1 species